AUGGGAAGAUUUGGGGCUAUCCUGGGAGGAAGACAUUUUUCCAAGAGGGCUCAGGUCCUGAAAGGGACAGGCAGGACAUGUCCCCUGUGCUCAGCUAACAUAGUUAGCUCUUGGGGAAAUAUUACUGUGAUAUUGUGAUUUAUAAUCAUAAAUACAUAUUUGGUUUUCCUCCCCAUUCCUGGCACAGAACUCCUUAAACUCUUCCAACUGCCUAAGUGAUGAAAGCAGUGAAGCUGUCUUUUGCUGUUCAUAACAAGCCCCUUUAACCACAUCGGAGUUUAUGUUAACGAAGUGGCUGUUGGAAAGCUCCUAGGUCACCGAAGGAAGGAUGGGGGCUGGUUGCCAGGGAAGCCGACCAUGUCAUUAGAGGGUUGGAACAUUCAGUCCCACUCCUAACCUCUGGGGAGGAGAGAGAGGAAAUUGAGUUCAACCACCAAUUGGCCAAAGAUGUAAUCAAUCAUGUCAAUGUAAUGUCGACUCCAUAAAACCCCCGAAAGAGUGGGGUUUGGAGAGUUUCUUGUUUGCAGGGCAAAAAUGCCGGGAAGGUGGUGCACCCCAAACUUCAAGGGGACAGAUGCUCCUGUGCUCCGGACUCUUCCGGACUUUGCUCUGUGUGCCUCUUCAUCUGUCCGUUCCUUCAGAUCCCAUUCAUAUCCUUUGUAAUACGCUGGGAAUCUAGUAAGAAAACUGAUUUCCUAAGUUCUUUAAGCUAAGUAGCUUGUAGCGAAUUAGUCAAACCUGAGGAGGGGGUCAGGGGAACCUUAGAUCUAAUGGAGAAGUGGUGGUGAUACAGUGGGGAAUGAAGAACACCUUGACCAAGUGAUCUGGAUUAAUACCACCAGCGAGAGGCAGGUGGAGAGCUUGUGCGUCCAGAUGAGCUUCCCAUGAAAGACACAGCAUCAUCGAGGUACUGAUACUGAAAACUCACCAGAAGGUCCUCAAAACCAAGAGGAAGAAACCCAACCAUUAGAAGACCAUAAAAUUGUUGAAGAACCCCCAGAGGGAUCGCAAGAAGAACACGGAGAAUUGAUAGAGAUCGACUGGUGAACAUGGACUCUUCAGUGGUGUAAACAUGGCCUUUUCUUUCUCCAACUUUAAAUCAUCAAUAAAGUCAUAAGCAU